UACGUAGGGGGCAAGCGUUGUCCGGAAUCAUUGGGCGUAAAGCGAGCGUAGGCGGCCCGAUAAGUCUGCUGUAAAAGUCAACGGCUCAACCGUUGAAAGCCGGUGGAUACUGUCGGGCUAGAGUUCGGAAGAGGCAAGUGGAAUUCCUGGUGUAGCGGUGGAAUGCGCAGAUAUCAGGAGGAACACCUAUAGCGAAGGCAGCUUGCUGGGGACGAUACUGACGCUAAGGCUCGAAAGCGUGGGGAGCGAACGAGGA
rnacentral:rRNA from 1 species